AUUGAACGCUGGCGGAAUGCUUUACACAUGCAAGUCGAACGGUAGAGGGGGCAACCCCUCGAGAGCGGCGAACGGGUGAGUAUGUAUCGGAACGUGCCCAGUCGUGGGGGAUAACGUAGUGAAAAUUACGCUAAUACCGCAUACGAUCUAUGGAUGAAAGCGGGGGAUCGCAAGACCUCGCGCGAUUGGAGCGGCCGAUAUCAGAUUAGGUAGUUGGUGGGGUAAAGGCCCACCAAGCCAACGAUCUGUAGCUGGUCUGAGAGGACGACCAGCCACACUGGAACUGAGACACGGUCCAGACUCCUACGGGAGGCAGCAGUGGGGAAUUUUGGACAAUGGGCGAAAGCCUGAUCCAGCCAUUCCGCGUGCAGGAUGAAGGCCCUCGGGUUGUAAACUGCUUUUGUACAGAACGAAAAGGUUUCUACUAAUACUAGGAGCUCAUGACGGUACUGUAAGAAUAAGCACCGGCUAACUACGUGCCAGCCGCCGCAGUAA
rnacentral:rRNA from 1 species